GCCAGCUGCUAUAUCACAGCUAGCAACCCACUGAAGCUCAGCAGGUGUGAGCCUGGUCAGUACCUGGAUGGGAGACCUCCUGGGAAAUACUAAGGUUGCUGCUGGAA
rnacentral:rRNA from 1 species